CGUAGUUGAUCCGUGCUCGAGAGACGCUGGCGGCGUGCCUAAUACAUGCAAGUCGAGCGGACCAAAGGGAGCUUGCUCCUGGAGGUCAGCGGCGAACGGGUGAGUAACACGUGGGCAACCUGCCUGUAAGACUGGGAUAACAUCGAGAAAUCGGUGCUAAUACCGGAUAAUAAAAAGAACUGCAUGGUUCUUUUUGAAAGAUGGUUUCGGCUAUCACUUACAGAUGGGCCCGCGGCGCAUUAGCUAGUUGGUGAGGUAACGGCUCACCAAGGCAACGAUGCGUAGCCGACCUGAGAGGGUGAUCGGCCACACUGGGACUGAGACACGGCCCAGACUCCUACGGGAGGCAGCAGUAGGGAAUCUUCCGCAAUGGACGAAAGUCUGACGGAGCAACGCCGCGUGAGUGAUGAAGGUUUUCGGAUCGUAAAACUCUGUUGUUAGGGAAGAACAAGUGCCGUUCGAAAGGGCGGCACCUUGACGGUACCUAACGAGAAAGCCACGGCUAACUACGUG
rnacentral:rRNA from 1 species